AACGAACGCUGGCGGCGUGCCUAACACAUGCAAGUCGAGCGCGAAUGGGAGCAAUCCCUAGUAGAGCGGCGCACGGGUGCGUAACACGUGGGUAAUCUACCUGAGAGACUGGAAUAACCUGCCGAAAGGCAAGCUAAUGCUAGAUAAGACUACGGAGUCUUCGGACUCAGUAGUAAAAGAUGGCCUCUGUAUACAAGCUAUCACUUUUAGAUGAGCCCGCGGCCCAUCAGCUAGUUGGUAGGGUAACGGCCUACCAAGGCAACGACGGGUAGCUGGUCUGAGAGGACGAUCAGCCACACUGGAACUGACACACGGUCCAGACUCCUACGGGAGGCAGCAGUGGGGAAUUUUGCACAAUGGGCGAAAGCCUGAUGCAGCAACGCCGCGUGUGUGAUGAAGGUUUUCGGAUUGUAAAGCACUUUCGAUCGGGACGAAAAACACCAAGCUAAUAUCUUGGUGCUUGACUGUACCGAGAGAAGAAGCACCGGCUAACUCCGUGCCAGCCGCCGCGGUAAUAC
rnacentral:rRNA from 1 species